UUUAAUUGAAGAGUUUGAUCAUGGCUCAGAUUGAACGCUGGCGGCAGGCCUAACACAUGCAAGUCGGGCGG
rnacentral:rRNA from 2 species